rnacentral:rRNA from 1 species
AUUGAACGCUGGCGGCAUGCCUAACACAUGCAAGUCGAACGGCAGCAUGAGUGAGGGUAACCUUACUUGAUGGCGAGUGGCGGACGGGUGAGUAAUAUGUAGGAAUCUACCUAGAGGAGGGGGAUAACUUAGGGAAACUUAAGCUAAUACCACAUAAGCCCUACGGGGGAAAGGACAGGGGGAUCGGAAAGACCUUGCGCCUUAUGAUGAGCCUACAUCGGAUUAGCUUGUUGGUGGGGUAAAGGCCUACCAAGGCGAUGAUCCGUAGCUGGUCUGAGAGGAUGACCAGCCACACUGGGACUGAGACACGGCCCAGACUCCUACGGGAGGCAGCAGUGGGGAAUAUUGGACAAUGGGGCAACCCUGAUCCAGCAAUGCCGCGUGUGUGAAGAAGGCCUUAGGGUUGUAAAGCACUUUCAGUGGGGAGGAAGGGGUAAUUGAUAAUACCAAUUAUCAUUGACGUUACCCACAGAAGAAGCACCGGCUAACUCUGUGCCAGCAGCCGCGGUAAUACAGAGGGUGCGAGCGUUAAUCGGAAUUACUGGGCGUAAAGGGUGUGUAGGUGGUUGUGUAAGUUAGAUGUGAAAUCCCUGGGCUCAACCUGGGAACUGCGUUUAAAACCUGCAUAGCUAGAGUACUGUAGAGGAUAGUGGAAUUUCCCAGUGUAGCGGUGAAAUGCGUAGAUAUUGGAAGGAACACCAGUGGCGAAGGCG